GACGAACGCUGGCGGCGUGCUUAACACAUGCCAGUCGAACGGAAAGGCCCUGCUUUUGUGGGGUGCUCGAGUGGCGAACGGGUGAGUAACACGUGAGUAACCUGCCCUCGACUUUGGGAUAACUUCAGGAAACUGGGGCUAAUACCGGAUAGGAGCUCCUGCUGCAUGGUGGGGGUUGGAAAGUUUCGGCGGUUGGGGAUGGACUCGCGGCUUAUCAGCUUGUUGGUGGGGUAGUGGCUUACCAAGGCUUUGACGGGUAGCCGGCCUGAGAGGGUGACCGGCCACAUUGGGACUGAGAUACGGCCCAGACUCCUACGGGAGGCAGCAGUGGGGAAUAUUGCACAAUGGGCGGAAGCCUGAUGCAGCAACGCCGCGUGCGGGAUGACGGCCUUCGGGUUGUAAACCGCUUUCGCCUGUGACGAAGCGUGAGUGACGGUAAUGGGUAAAGAAGCACCGGCUAACUACGUG
rnacentral:rRNA from 1 species